GGCCAUCUUCGCCAUAGAAUUCGCAAACGACAUGUGAUUAGGCAAAUGAUUGACAAUGUGCAAAUAAGGCCUCUGGCAGAGUGGUUUUAAUUCCUUGUGAGCGGAGUUACAAGUUGUUCCACUGUGGCUAGUAAAUGAUAAGCGACGGGGGCCAGGGUCAUAUUUCAACAUGCGCUGCAGCCAAUGAAAGGCUCAGGCGGAGCUCCCCGUCCCAAGUGGAGAACACCUGUAUUAACCUGCAGUCAGUCGCAGGCCGUCCCCAUAGUAUCAGCAACUCUGAAGUGCACUCAACUUUACUGGAUCAGCCCUGACACACAAAACGAUUUGAAGAUGAUGCUUUUGUUGCUCCUAUGCCUGCUACUGCCAUCUUCUACGGCUUUAUCAAAGGAGGUUGAAGGAUCUGCUGAUGAGCCCGAUGAUGAGGACCUUAUCCGUGCCGUGGAUGUGCAACCCACAAAUGAAUACCAGGAUCCUGACAUGGGCAAAACUACAGGGGAAGAAGAAUCAGACCAGUUUGUGGGGAUUGUCGUUGGUGUGGCUGUGGCCAUGGUGGCUCUGUCUGUCGCUGUGAUAAUUGCAAUACUGUUGGUCCGACGCAACAUGCAAAGGCGUCAGCAAGGCGUGUACUCGGUGCCCGCAGACCAGGACCAGAAGGUCUCUGUGUAGCUCCUGGGUUCCAGCCCCCCAGGACCCAGUAGAACACCGAAAGGAGGACCAAUGCACUGACCACAUAUUUCACUCACAGGGUUAAGGGUUUAACCCCGGACAGGUUCAGGGUUUGACCCGGACAGGUUCAGGGUUUGACCCCGGACAGGUUUAGGUUAAGGCGCCAUCUUGCAUAUCCCUGUAUACUUGUAUUUCUCGCUGCUGAUCUGUGCCACGCUCAUAUUAAUAAUUAGAAAGUGAUGUUUGCCUUUCUGUCAUGCUUCAAUCCUGCAUUUUUGCAUUAUAAUAUGAACACACCAUUUCACUUGGGAACAUUUGGAACACAUUAAGCCUUUUAAUAAGAUUCUAUUUAAAGAUGAAACGCGGGAGCCUUUAAAUGUUUCUUUAAAUGGAACGGCUUCUGUUGUGAGCGGGAUUUCUCCCAUUCCUCUCCGGCUAAGGUGCGUGGUGGAAACAUUGAUGUGGGGGAUCUGUUGGGACAGACCUGCCACGAGCGGAACAGGCUUAUUUCAAAGACAAACCGUGCUAAUCCACAGCAGAGUGGCUCAGUUCUCACUUCGGUUUCCUCUUCAUUUGCCUGACAUCCCCUGUUCUUCACCCAGUAGGAGUGGCAGGAGGGGAUGGGAGAUAAAGCUGGCUUUCCCCACAACUCAGGCCAGGCUCAACUAGUGUGUGUGUGUGUGUGUGUGUGUGUGUGUGUGUGUGUGUGUGUGUGUGUGUGUGUGUGUGUGUGUGUGUGUGUGUGUGUGUGUGUGUGUGUGUGUGUGUGCGUCUGUGUGUGUGUGUGUGUGUGUGCAGUGCUAGUUAGAACAUCCUGUUGCGAGGCAGUGAAUUAAUCGACCGCCAUGAAUGAUGACGUUUUUUUUCCCCCCACUUCCUCCAGAAGACAAUCUCUCCAACGUCCUCAGCCUGGAAGAUUGUAAAUAAAAUAAAUAGCUCUAUGAUGGCUGGGGGUUGGGAAGAUGGGGUUUUAUAACCGGGACAGAGAGACAAGAUGGGGGUUGGGGAGAGAUUUUUAUACCCGUGACAGAAAGACAAGGGGGAGGGGCGGGGCAGAAUUUUCAAACAGCUUGUAAUAGACCUCUGAAGAAUAAGUCCCGGCUCCGAACCUCCCGGAUCCCUCAGUCAAAUGUCCAUGGGAAAUAACAUGUGGUUGUAGAAUGAUCGUACAUAACAAACUCUGUACUCAGCCUUGGGGGCGGGACUUAUUCUUCAGAGGUCUAUGGCUGAUCACAUUCAAACCUGUUGGCCUGAUAUCACCCCUUUAAGGUGCGCUUCUGGGGUCUCCGACCUGGUCUCACCCUUUGGAUGUGGUAUAUUGUUACGCCUACGAUCGGUUAAAAAUUGUAUGUAUAGGCAUUGUAUCUCAUGGAAAAAAUAAGACUGUAUAUAUAUAUAUAUAUAUAUAUAUAUAUAUAUAUAUAUAUAUAUACAAAUAUAUAUGUAAAAAAGGUUUCUCUUUUUAUGAUGUCAUUCAGGCAUGCGCUCUCUGCGUGCUUACUAUGCAAGCUCUAUCUAAUACUACUAAACCAUCUAACCAUAUAAGAUAGUAUAGUUGUUUUACAUCAUUGCUAUACUAUGUCAUUCUACUAAACUAUCUAACAAUAUGGGAUAGUGCAGUAGUUUUACAUAGCUGCUAUACUAUCUAAUACUAUUAUGCUAUAGUUACUUUACAUUUUGUUAUUACCUGUGCUACCAAUACUCUUAAGCAAAGGGAAACAGCUGUUGCUCCUCGCUCUGUGUUCGCUCCACCUGGUGGUAAAGCAAUACCCUCAUUUCAAAUGUUCUUGAUCAUAUCAGCAAUAAAAUGUCUGUUUGCCAUUUUCAUGCUUUUUUAAAAAUAAAUAUAUAAUGACAAAAACGGGCUCCUAAUAAAAACAAACCACUUGUAUUUCAGUCUAAAGUGGCUUGCUGUUUUCUUGUUACGCCAGCCAAGACAUGCAGCAUUACACAUACAGGUAAUCUCUUAAGUAUUACUGUAUUGGUCGUUACUGUGACAAACACGUGUCAUUACUAUGACUAAUAGAGACGUUGGAAUACAGACACACACCUUCCCAGAACCGAAAACAGAACUGAUAAUUUUAUUUUAUUUACAUCCUGACGUCGGCUGAUGAUUUCAAUGUAAUCAAAAACUGAAGUUAUCUUGAAUAAUAAAAAUUAUGAUUCGCCACUAUCGGGCUGUUUACAACAUCAAACAAAAUGUGGAUAGCAUUGUUUCUGUUGGCUCAAAGCUAACCAAAUAUUGAAAAGUUGAACAAAAUAGUCAAGUCAAAAAAGAUGGCUGAUACUACAAGAACCGUCACGUGUCCCAUCGCGUCUCAAGUAGAUUCCCCUUAACGGGUACCUAGAAGCAACGUGCAUGGGUCCUUACAAGUAUCAAAAGCAAUAUAUGUGGGUCUUAUUAAGGUUUGGUUAUCUCUGUUAACCUAACUAAAGGCACACGUGUUUGUUUAGUUAGGUUUAGUAAGCUGGGUUAAAAAAACAAAGACACACAUGUUUCAUUUUGGUUUAGUCAGCGGGUUAACUCAAGACGCAUACACUUGUGUCUAUAGUUAGGUCUAAGUUAGGUUCAGUUAUGUGCUUUAGUGAUAUUUAGUUAGCUAGGUAAACUAAAGACACGUAUGCUUGUGGCUAUAGGGAGGUUCAAAAAGCAGGUUAACUGAACUAAAUGUAUGUCUUUAGUUAGGUUAAGUUAGCUUGGUAAAUAAACUGAAGACACGCUCAGUUGUGUCAUUAUGUUGAGUUAGCUAGGCUAACUUUAAUGGAGGUCAACCAGAGUCCUGCAGUCUUCCCUGUCUGUUUUAUUCAUGUUGACUUCAAGUCUUCAGUGUUUUUCCAUUCUUAGGCAUGAGGCUUAGGCUCAUGGUGCUGAGGCUUAGUCAUACAAAGCACACCCAUGUGCACACAGUUGUGUAAACACACACAUGUCAUGCACACAUACAAACACACACGCACAGACACAACACACACACACACACGCGCGCGCACACACACACACACACACACACACACACACACACACACACACACAGGCAAGGAUUUUAUUUAGGUAAUUGUACUUUACUGAUGCUUUCUGCACACACAACUCCAAAGUUAGUCUACACUUUACAUAACUCUGCAGAAACUCUGUCCUCAUUUUUUCUCCAUUUGGUAUGACCUGAAAAACACACACACAGAAAAACAAAAAAAACACGCACAUAGACAAACAGGUACACCCAGGAACGCCCACAUUUACACACGUGCAAAGCAGAAAGGCAAAGCAAACAGCAAAGGAUUAAUAAGUCAUGCAGUGACGUUCCACAGAACUAGGAAAAAUGAUUAACACUUGACGCCUCGCUGUUUAAUCCAUUAUUGCAUUGCGCAACACAAGUGCUGAAUCCGGCCCGGCUGAGGCGUUCAGCACCACGCAUACCCAGUCAGCAUUCUGUCACCCGUGCACACAUAUAUUUGAAUUGAUCCUUUAGUGUACACACACCCGUCUAAAUGCUGCAUUUCAUCAGUACUACAAAUCUUCAGGCACAAUCAACUCGUCAGAGCUACCCGGCCCCAUCACUGGUAGCCCGAGACCCCGGCCUAACCGUCAGCUUCCUUCCAACGAUGGAUGUACUGGGAUGACUGUAUGAUUGAUUGUAUGUAUAAUAUGUUUGAUUGAAUUGUAAUGUCUAACGUUUGCGUAUCUGUAUGACGGUACCACAUUGUGCACUGCACUUUUAAUUACUCUCUUUAUGAACUUUGGGCCCCCCUCUCAAAAGCUUUCAAUAGCUUACUUGUGGGGAUCCAUUCAUGCAUGCCAAAGGAUCAUGCGGAUGUCUAACUGGUCUGAAUUGCAGAUGUUUACCAUUUUGGCAAUGUAUGAAUAUGAACUAAUCUUGAAACUUGAAACUUAGAAAGUGUGAGUAGAGGACCAUCAGGGAAGACGACCACAGCUCCUUACUUUGUGGCCCUCAGACGGCGGCAUUUUGGCAGGCGUCCUCCGGGUCCGCCUGAGAGCAAAUAGGAGCAGAGAAGGGGGGGGGGGGGAGGCGUCUUAGCGUAAAUGUUGGGAGCGGUGCAUUAGUACAAAUCACGAUACGAUAUGACACAACUUUAUUAAUCCCCCGUAGGAUAAAUUAGUUUGUUGCAACAGCCCAGCAGCAGUGGAAAAACACAGGAUAAAAAAAUACCAUACAAUACAACAAGAAUACAAAGUACUAAUGCAAACAAAAAUAGACGCUAAAGGUAAAUGCUAAACGAAAUGCUAAAGUAAGGAGAAGAGUGUAUAAACAAUAUAAAUGAUCAAUUCUAAAAAGUGCAAAGUGUGAACCACGGUAGGACUGAGGAGAGAGGGAGCUCCGGUAGGACUGAGGAGAGAAGGAGCUCCGAGCACUCACAGCCCAGCACCAGGAGGCCGAGGAGGAAGAGCACCGCCGCCACCACCAGCCCGGCCUUCCGCAGAGUAAAGUAAUCUGCACACAAAGAACAACACCACGUCGCAGAGCCGCCACGGCAGGGUCCUGUUGUUGCUUCAUAAAAACCCCAUCCAAACGAUAUCACCUACCAUACGUGAAUCGUUUAUCCAGCUCGUCGAAAUCUAUAGAGAGACAAGGGAGAGAAAGUCUGAGCUGUCUGCAGUUGGCGUAUUGUGAGUCUGCGCCGCGGGGGGGAUCCAAGUGUCUGUACACGGUCGUCUGUUGUUUGCACAGAGUGUGUUGGCAGGGGGAGAGCAGGUGGGUCCCAGCCGCCCUGGUGGGCUUCUGAUCCUGUCAGGCUUGAUACGCCCAUCCAUUAAAGGUAAGGUGUCGUAGAUACUCCGAUUAAUGGCAAGUUAAAGGGUAAAAGAUACGCCAUCAGAGUAGAGGUAAAGUAAGGUGGAAUAGAAGUUAAAUUAUUGAUACUCUGUCAGAUUAAAGGUAAAUUAAUGUGAUUAGUACUCGGUCAUUUGAAGGAAAGGUAAAGUGUCAUAGGUACUCUGUCAGAUUAAAAGUAAAGAAAGAAUACUCGGUCAGAUUAAAGGUAAAGGAAAGGUGAAUAUGCACUCUGUCAGAUUAGUGGUAAAGUAAAGUGGAAUAGGAACUCUUAUCAGAUUAAAGGUAAGUAAAGUGGAAUAGGAACUCUAUCAGAUUAAAGGAAAAGUAAAGUGGAUUAGGUACUUUAUCAGAUUAAAGGUAAAGAAAGGUUUAAAAAGUACUUUAUCAGAUUAGAGUUAAAGUAAGGUGGAAUAGUUACCUUUGUUGGUGAAAAAUUCUUUUUGUUUCCAGGGUGUUUGGGGUUUCAUAGUUGGGGAAGAGUUUGUCUCUAUGGAUGAAAUACAAUCAAUUAAAUCACAAUCCAUUUCCCUUAAUGAUCAUCGUUAUCUUCUACUGUCCAAGCAACAUGUUCAACUGGUUAUUUUAAUUUAAUUUAAUUUAUGAUGUACUAUUGUAUGAUGAAACUUCUGAAGCGGCAAACUUUCCCUCUCUGACUUUCUGUUUCUGAACACACCCUUCACUGUUCUAUAAUUCAACAGAAUAAUGAAGAGUGAACAGUUUUUCUAAUUACCUGAUAACAAUAGAUAAAAGACUCAUAUUCCAGGUAGCCUUUUUCAGCCACACAUGGAAGAGAAACAUCACACAAAUCCUUUUCGUAGGAAUUAUCCACCGCUACAGUAACACACCGCUAACCAUCGUAUGCUACAGAAAGAUUGCUCUGUACCUGGUUUGGUUGCUGUAGGCUUACUGGCUUCGGGCGUUGUUGACUUGUUGACAGCUAAGGGGGGGACCACAAACAUUACCUCCAUUAAAGGUUUGAACGAUACGGACCAUGGUUCUACCUGAUGGAUGUGUGAGCUGCACCUGGUUGGGUGAUCGCUGGUGGGAUUGAAAUGGGACCCGUUGUCAUACUGAUGUUUCCAAGUCCAGUCUUCUGAGGGAUCACAUCUCUUGUGGUUCUGCUCACAGCCGUAAUGUUGUCUGCAAGGCCUGAAACUGUCCUGAUUGUUAGACGGAUCAUUGGUGGCAGGGGGCUCGCUGGACACUGUAACCAUACUAGCUGUCGUGUUGAAAGCCCAUGACCCUGUCACCAUAAGAAACAAAUCAGUUUCAAUAAGUAUGUAGGUGAAGAAAUAAAAUAGCAUUGAUGGUACAAUCUGAGGAUCCAAACCAUGAUGCAAAUCACAUUUAAGCUCUAAGGCUCGAGGUGUUCACCAUGUGACACAGGCCUCUGUAAGUCAUAGACAGGACAUAAGCAUAUAAGGGAUAUAUAUAUAUAUAUGUAGACAUAUCAGAAUAAGAGAUAUUAAAUAACGUGCAAAUGUAAAUACAUACUGUAUGUUGGGUCAAAUAGAAAAUAAUAGAAUAAGCUCAACAUGCUACUCCAGCCCAAUAGUGAAAGUGGAUGCAGACGUCCAUGCACGGCAGCUCACACAACCCCUGAGAGUUGGGUGCGUGGGCCAAGGCGGUCCAACACAGCCACACAGAAGCCCUUCUCAAGGGGCCCUCUCUUGUUUAGAGAGCCUUGGGACAGUAGGGCCGCUGUCCUCCUCUUCCUCCACACGACUCACGUCAAACACUCUCCACACUGUGUUAUUAAACAUGAGCCCCAACGCGGGCAGGCGCCGGAGUACGAGCCCACUGAGAAAGCUGGUUCUGGUGGUGGGCUGGAGGGGAUCUCAUGAAAUCACCUGAAUGAUAUUUAGUGAACAUUCUGGGGGGGAACAAGCUGCUUUUUUGCUGAACUCACCUUGUAAUAUUAGAAGGAGUAAGAAGGCGGAACAAAUCUGAAAACGCAUAGAAAGGAAGUCAACCAAAAAAAAGGGGAAAUAAUUAAACUCUCACACACACCCACAUGGAUGUAAAAAAUUCACCCCCGUCCAUUUAACUCUAAUACACCCCUUUGCAUGUAACUCUAACUCCCCCAUGCACGUUAUUACAAUAUAUAUACAAUGCAUGUAACUCUAAUACACCACAUGCAUGUAAGUCUAAUACACCCCCUUGCAAGUAACUCUAAUACUCCCCAAUGCAUGCAUCUCGACCGGUUUAGUUGUAUUAAUGAAGCCAUUGGGACAGUGCACCCUGUUCCUGAUUACUAAUAAAAAACACCGCUCCAAUGCAGCCCCACCUGUUUUUAAUUAUAAUGGCAGAUAAUGAAGACGACAGACACAGCAUUUAAAACAACUCUCAAUCUUGCGACACCAUUUCUUUGCACGCACACGCAAACAAAAGAAAGGUUAAUUCGUCAUGUUGCUUCAUAUCCACUGGAGCGCGUGGAUCCGUCUGUCACGAUCGACCGACAACGGUGUUCAAGUCUUGACAACUGACAGGUUCACGCGGCUUCAAAAUGGCGGCUCUCUGCGGACCAGCCGAAGCUGAGGGUACAUGUGAGUGACAGGAGUUGUGCUGGCAGACCGCGCGGGGUUUCGUCUCUUCUGAGUGAUUGUCAAACAGAUGAAGAAGUUUCGUUUGAUCAUUAAUGAUUGUAUGAUAACGAAACAAAGUUGAAUCGUUUCGGUUAUCAAAGGUAGGCCUGCAUGUGGAAUGUGUGUCACAUCGUUCUUUGUUUGUCUUCAUGUUGUGCUUCCAGUAAGUAAAUGAGAAGCACUUUAGUGGUUUUACCAAUUUAGAUAUAAAUGGGACACUGAGAAUGUAUCAAUAUUAACUCCAUGCAGAGAGGAAACCCAACUAGUACCUGUCUCUGUUCAUCCUCACUCAAUCACUCAAUCAGUACCUCCCACUCCCUUACUCAAUUCACCAAACCCUCACCACGCCAAACAACAAGCAAACCAUCGCCGAACCAAACCCUCACCAAGCCAAAUCCUCACCAAACCCUCACCAAGCCAAACCCUCACCAAACAACAUGCAUUUCGCUCACCUUGGUGCCCAUGGUGUCCGUGGUCGUGGUAGUAGUCAUGCCAGUGCUCAGUAAGGUGCGGCUCGCCCUCCGUUGUGCUACAUGUGAAGAGCAAUGAGAAACCGUUAUUCUCCACGCCCAUGUGCUCCCGUCCUCCACUUCCUCAAAGGUCUGUCAGUCUCUCGCUCACCCGCUCUUGCUCAUGGCAGAAAAACCCUCUCCUUGCUCUGUCUGAGGGCAUUGUACUUGUUGUCUUCUAGGGCUAGAGACCAGGCAGGCUUUUGAAGGAAGUAGUGAAGCAGCUCAGUUUAUCGGUCUACAGCACAGAUGUCCUUUUGGCUUUGGUCUUAGAUCACCAGGGCUUGCAUCGGUUGUCACUUGUGGAUGUUUGUUUCUCUUCCUUCAAUGAAAGCAAUUCAAUCCUAAACUGAAAUUGAAAAAGUAUUUACGGCUCGAAUCCAAAACAAACCCACGCUUUCUCACUUAAGAACAAAUGUUAUUUUAAAAAAAGGGCAGAAACACAUAUUUUACCUUGAAACAUUGUAUUCUUCAAGUUUGACCAAAAGAUGUACACAGUGGUUACGGGUUUCCUCUUUCCUGACCAUGAAAACACACAAAUGCUAACAUAACAAAGCUGCUUAAGACUUUAUGUUUCUGCUCAAUAGACCAACAGGAC
ensembl:lncRNA